CUCCCCUCAAAUUAAGUAGACACAGGGAUUAUGACCUAUGAUGAGUUGACACUUACAGAGCAAGGGGCGAAGGAAGAAAUACUUAAUUUUAAAUGGACCGUCCUUGACCAGAAAUGUGUCACUCGUUCGUCCCAUGGUUGUGUUUUCAGUCGUCAUGGAACCACCGGUAGCUGUGUGCUUUAAAUGCGCUACAGUCAAUUAAGAUUUCAUAUCUUGGCUAGAAGACAACUCAUCCGCAGACAUCGAAUGCUAUCCAUCUGACGAUAUCAGUAUAUUUUAUGGAAGAGAGUAGACUGGUGGGUCCCGACAUGUGUUCCCGAUACAAGAGGAUCAACAACACUGUGGCGACCACAUUUGGAUUUGGGAACGAGUCGGGGGGAUGUCUCGACGGAUGGUACUUCAGCAAUGAGAAAUACACGUCAGCUAUAGUGUUUGAGCAAAUGAGUAGUUGUAAAGAGCAGCAGCAAGUGUACACUUUCCUGGACAUCUCCAUCCUCAACAUCAUCCUCUGGUAAGGGUCCAGACUCAUCCACUGGGUGUAUGGUCCCCACUUCCUGGUCCCCACUUCCUGGGCAUGUUGCUUUCUAACCCCACAUGUUUAACCACAAACCCUAACUUUAGCCCUAACCCUAACCUUAGCUAUCACCUGAAAUUGAGAACAUAGCUCAUCUACCUGCUCAUCAGUUUUCCAGUCUGUAUUUUACAUGGCCAUACCAUAACUCUCCCUCUCUCUCCCUUUUCCCUCUCUCCUCUCCCUCCUUGAACUUUACAACAAAGUCCUGCCAUACAUUAUCUUUGGGAUAAUUAGCCUCUUUCUGCGAGUCUGAGUCGUCUGCUUCAAACACCAGGGAUUGUAAACUCCCUGACAACAGCCAAGUCAAGCCUAUCAGAUGGUAGGUCAUAAUAUAGAUGAGUGCAAUCACAUUGUGCUUUAACAGCUGUCUUGUGAAUGCGACAUUGAACCAUGAUACUAACUUAGUGUGUUAGUACCAUGAUACCAUGCUUGUCAUAGUUGUCAGUGGUUAUGUCAUGAACGGUAAAGUCGUGUGCCAUGUGAUUUUGGAAAGAGAAGAGUCACGCACACCCAAGCACAGUACAGUAGCAGGCCAAAAAAAUAGUAACUUAGGCAGACAGAAAUGUGUACUUAUCAUUGUCAUGUGAUUAUGACCUCCACUCCAAAAGAGAUGAAUAUUAUCCUCAAAGUAUAAUCCCUUUAGUUCACUUUUCUUUUAGUUUCUGCUCAUCAAAGGAGUCGACCACUAUCCAAUAUGACCAUGACCUGAAAGACAUCCCAAUAAUGAAUGGAACAGCACAGGCUCACCUGCCACUUGAAGAAGAAUUUUUUUUGUUUUUUUAAUGCAGUGUUUUGAGUCCACUCCUUCGGAAAGUAUUCAGACCCCUUGACUUUUUACACAUUUGGUUAGGUUACAGC